rnacentral:rRNA from 1 species
AGCGGUAAGGCCUUUCGGGGUACACGAGCGGCGAACGGGUGAGUAACACGUGGGUGAUCUGCCCUGCACUUCGGGAUAAGCCUGGGAAACUGGGUCUAAUACCGGAUAUGACCUCCUAUCGCAUGGUGGGUGGUGGAAAGAUUUAUCGGUGCAGGAUGGGCCCGCGGCCUAUCAGCUUGUUGGUGGGGUAAUGGCCUACCAAGGCGACGACGGGUAGCCGACCUGAGAGGGUGACCGGCCACACUGGGACUGAGACACGGCCCAGACUCCUACGGGAGGCAGCAGUGGGGAAUAUUGCACAAUGGGCGAAAGCCUGAUGCAGCGACGCCGCGUGAGGGACGACGGCCUUCGGGUUGUAAACCUCUUUCAGCAGGGACGAAGCGCAAGUGACGGUACCUGCAGAAGAAGCACCGGCUAACUACGUGCCAGCAGCCGCGGUAAUACGUAGGGUGCAAGCGUUGUCCGGAAUUACUGGGCGUAAAGAGUUCGUAGGCGGUUUGUCACGUCGUUUGUGAAAACUCACAGCUCAACUGUGAGCCUGCAGGCGAUACGGGCAGACUUGAGUACUGCAGGGGAGACUGGAAUUCCUGGUGUAGCGGUGAAAUGCGCAGAUAUCAGGAGGAACACCGGUGGCGAAGGCGGGUCUCUGGGCAGUAACUGACGCUGAGGAACGAAAGCGUGGGUAGCGAACAGGAUUAGAUACCCUGGUAGUCCACGCCGUAAACGGUGGGCGCUAGGUGUGGUUCCUUCCACGGAAUCCGUGCCGUAGCUAACGCAUUAGCGCCCGCCUGGGGAGUACGGCCGCAAGGCUAAACUCAAGAUUGACGGGG